GCGAUGAACCAGACUGCCGCGGAGGGCGGGGGAAUUACCCUUGUCCCUUUGAGGAAAGUCCGGGCUCCGCAGGGCAUGAUGCCGGGUAACUCCCGGGCGGAAAGGGCGAAAAUCCUUUCCGACAGAAAGCGCAGCAGAAAGCAAACCGCCUAAGAUAAAACGCGGAAGCGUUUUUAUCCGGCAAGGGUGAAACGGCGGGGUAAGAGCCCGCCUCGGCGGCGGCAACGCUGCCGGAAAGAUUCCGGUACGCCUAACGCGGGCCGGAAAACGGCAAGCCUCAUCAGGAGCAAAGUCAAGCAGCGGCGGAACGGCCCGUUCUAUGCCGCGGGUAGACUGCGCGGACGGUGUCCGUAAGGACCGCGCAAGAUAGAUGGCAGUUGGCGCUGAAACGCCGCAGGGUGUUUCGGCGCUACAGAACCCGGCUUACCGGUUCAUCGCUUUU
rnacentral:RNase_P_RNA from 1 species